UACGUAGGGUGCAAGCGUUGUCCGGAAUUAUUGGGCGUAAAGAGCUCGUAGGCGGUCUGUCGCGCGGCUGUGAAAACCCGGGGCUCAACCCCGGGCCUGCAGUCGAUACGGGCAGACUAGAGUGUGGUAGGGGAGACUGGAAUUCCUGGUGUAGCGGUGAAAUGCGUAGAUAUCGGAAGGAACAUCAGUGGCGAAAGCGACUUCCUGGACCAGUACCGACGUCAGGCACGAAAGCGUGGGGAGCAAAAGGG
rnacentral:rRNA from 1 species